GCCUGGUGGUUCCUGGAGUCGGCUCCAAAGUGCUGAACUGCAGGUUUUUGUUAACAGGCACAUAUUAAUGUCUGCAGUUUUAUGCAUGGAGGCUGUCUCUAUAGCAGCCUUCCAUAGCCCGGCUGCAGAUACACCU
rnacentral:snoRNA from 1 species